rnacentral:rRNA from 1 species
CUGACUGACCGAUAGUGAACCAGUACCGUGAGGGAAAGGCGAAAAGAACCCCGGCGAGGGGAGUGAAAAAGAACCUGAAACCGUGUACGUACAAGCAGUGGGAGCACAGGUUUACCUGUGUGACUGCGUACCUUUUGUAUAAUGGGUCAGCGACUUAUAUUCUGUAGCAAGGUUAACCGAAUAGGGGAGCCGGAGGGAAACCGAGUCUUAAUUGGGCGUUAAGUUGCAGGGUAUAGACCCGAAACCCGGUGAUCUAGCCAUGGGCAGGUUGAAGGUUGGGUAACACUAACUGGAGGACCGAACCGACUAAUGUUGAAAAAUUAGCGGAUGACCUGUGGCUGGGGGUGAAAGGCCAAUCAAACCGGGAGAUAGCUGGUUCUCCCCGAAAGCUAUUUAGGUAGCGCCUCGUGAAUUCAUCUCCGGGGGUAGAGCACUGUUUCGGCUAGGGGGCCAUCCCGGCUUACCAACCCGAUGCAAACUGCGAAUACCGGAGAAUGUUAUCACGGGAGACACACGGCGGGUGCUAACGUCCGUCGUGAAGAGGGAAACAACCCAGACCGCCAGCUAAGGUCCCAAAGUCAUGGUUAAGUGGGAAACGAUGUGGGAAGGCCCAGACAGCCAGGAUGUUGGCUUAGAAGCAGCCAUCAUUUAAAGAAAGCGUAAUAGCUCACUGGUCGAGUCGGCCUGCGCGGAAGAUGUAACGGGGCUAAACCAUGCACCGAAGCUGCGGCAGCGAACGUAUCACUUAAAGCGAUUCAGCGGGUUACGAUUGACGGAGCGAAGCGACGUCAAAGCGUAUACAAAGUCGAGUCGGUUUAAGGAUACGUUCGUUGGGUAGGGGAGCGUUCUGUAAG